UACGUAGGGUGCAAGCGUUGUCCGGAAUUAUUGGGCGUAAAGGGCUCGUAGGCGGUCCAUCGCGUCGGGAGUGAAAAGCUGGGGCUUAACCCCAGUCCUGCUUCCGAUACGGGUGGACUAGAGGUAGGUAGGGGAGAUCGGAAUUCCUAGUGUAGCGGUGAAAUGCGCAGAUAUUAGGAGGAACACCGGUGGCGAAGGCGGAUCUCUGGGCCUUACCUGACGCUGAGGAGCGAAAGCAUGGGGAGCGAACAGG
rnacentral:rRNA from 1 species